rnacentral:rRNA from 1 species
GGACGGCACAUGAUACUGCGAGACUAGAGUAAUGGAGGGGGAACCGGAAUUCUCGGUGUAGCAGUGAAAUGCGUAGAUAUCGAGAGGAACACUCGUGGCGAAGGCGGGUUCCUGGACAUUAACUGACGCUGAGGCACGAAGGCCAGGGGAGCGAAAGGGAUUAGAUACCCCUGUAGUCCUGGCAGUAAACGGUGCACGCUUGGUGUGCGGGGAAUCGACCCCCUGCGUGCCGGAGCUAACGCGUUAAGCGUGCCGCCUGGGGAGUACGGUCGCAAGAUUAAAACUCAAAGAAAUUGACGGGGACCCGCACAAGCGGUGGAGUAUGUGGCUUAAUUCGAUGCAACGCGAAGAACCUUACCUGGGCUUGACAUGUAAUGAACAACAUGUGAAAGCAUGCGACUCUUCGGAGGCGUUACACAGGUGCUGCAUGGCCGUCGUCAGCUCGUGUCGUGAGAUGUUUGGUUAAGUCCAGCAACGAGCGCAACCCCUGUUGCCAGUUACCAGCACGUGAAGGUGGGGACUCUGGCGAGACUGCCCAGAUCAACUGGGAGGAAGGUGGGGACGACGUCAGGUCAGUAUGGCCCUUAUGCCCAGGGCUGCACACGUACUACAAUGCCCAGUACAGAGGGGGCCGAAGCCGCGAGGCGGAGGAAAUCCUAAAAACUGGGCCCAGUUCGGACUGUAGGCUGCAACCCGCCUACACGAAGCCGGAAUCGCUAGUAAUGGCGCAUCAGCUACGGCGCCGUGAAUACGUUCCCGGGUCUUGUACACACCGCCCGUCACAUCAUGGAAGCCGGUCGCACCCGAAGUAUCUGAAGCCAACCGCAAGGAGGCAGGGUCCUAAGGUGAGACUGGUAACUGGGAUGAAGUCGUAACAAGGUAGCCGUAGGGGAACCUGCGGCUG